rnacentral:rRNA from 1 species
GAAAGUCUCUGCUUUUAACUAGAUAGCAACUUUCAGCAGUGGAUGUCUAGGCUCGCACAUCGAUGAAGAACGCUGCGAACUGCGAUACGUAAUGCGAAUUGCAGGAUUCAGUGAGUCAUCGAAAUUUUGAACGCAUAUUGCACUUCCGGGUUAGUCCUG